rnacentral:rRNA from 1 species
UUGACCUCGAAUCAGGUAGGAAUACCCGCUGAACUUAAGCAUAUCAAUAAGCGGAGGAAAAGAAACCAACAGGGAUUGCCCCAGUAACGGCGAGUGAAGCGGCAACAGCUCAAAUUUGAAAUCUGGCCCCCCGGGGCCCGAGUUGUAAUUUGCAGAGGAUGCUUUUGGCGAGGCGCCUUCCGAGUUCCCUGGAACGGGACGCCAUAGAGGGUGAGAGCCCCGUCUGGUCGGACGCCGAGCCUCUGUAAAGCUCCUUCGACGAGUCGAGUAGUUUGGGAAUGCUGCUCUAAAUGGGAGGUAUAUGUCUUCUAAAGCUAAAUACCGGCCAGAGACCGAUAGCGCACAAGUAGAGUGAUCGAAAGAUGAAAAGCACUUUGAAAAGAGGGUUAAAUAGUACGUGAAAUUGUUGAAAGGGAAGCGCUUGUGACCAGACUUGGGCCCGGCGGAUCACCCAGCGUUCUCGCUGGUGCACUCCGGCGCGGCCCAGGCCAGCAUCAGCUCGUCCCGGGGGACAAAGGCGGCGGGAAUGUGGCUCCUCCGGGAGUGUUAUAGCCCGCCGCGCAAUGCCCUGGGGCGGGCUGAGGACCGCGCAUCUGCAUGGAUGCUGGCGUAAUGGUCAUCAGCGACCCGUCUUGAA